rnacentral:snoRNA from 1 species
CCCCUCUCAGGGUCGCACCAGGAGAGUUUCCAGUACUCUACCAGGCUCGGCUAUGGGAGGGAGUGGCAAGCAGAGGCCUACUCGUUCCACUCCUAGCUUGGCCAGUGGCUAGCGAGUGGAAGGCAAUCUGCCACAAGU